GACGAACGCUGGCGGCGUGCUUAACACAUGCAAGUCGAACGGAAAGGCCCUGCUUUUGUGGGGUGCUCGAUUGGCGAACACGUGAGUAACACGUGAGUAACCUGCCCUUGACUUUCGGAUAACUUCUGGAAACUGCGGCUAAUAUCGGAUAGGAGCUCCUGCAGCAUGGUGGGGGUUGGUAAGUUUCGGCGGUUGGGGAUGGACUCGCGGCAUAUCCGCUUCUUGGUGUAGUUGUGGCUUACCAAGGCUUUGACGGGUAGCCGGCCUGAGAGGGUGACCGGGAACAAUAGGACUAAGAGAGGGACCAGAAGCCGACCGGAGGCAGCGGUGGGGAGUAUGGCGGAGUAGGCCGACGCCUGAUGCAGCAACCUUGCGAGCGGGAUGACGGCUUUCGGGUUGUGAACAGCUUUGGCCUGUGAUGAGGCGUGAGUGACGGUAAUGGGUAAAAAAGCACCGGCUAACUACGUG
rnacentral:rRNA from 1 species